rnacentral:hammerhead_ribozyme from 1 species
AUCCAGCUGACGGGUCGUAAGUAGGACGAAACGUGAGUCCUGGAU